AUUGAACGCUGGCGGCAGGCCUAACACAUGCAAGUCGAACGAGUGGCGGACGGGUGAGUAAUGUCUGGGAAUCUUCCUUAUGGAGGGGGAUAACUACUGGAAACUGUAGCUACUACCGCGUACCAUCGGAUGUGCCCAAGUGGGAUUAGCUAGUUGGUGGGGUAAAGGCUCACCUAGCCGACGAUCCCUAGCUGGUCUGAGAGGAUGACCAGGCACACUGGAACUGAGACACGGACCAGAGUCCUACGGGAGGCAGCAGGGGGGAAUAUGGCACAAGGGGGGCAAGCCUGAAGCAGCCAUGCCGCGUGAAUGAAGAAGGCCGUCGGGUUGUAAAGUACUUUCAGGAGGGAGGAGUUAAAGAAAGAAGAAGCACCGGCUAACUCCGUGCCAGCAGCCGCGGUAAUAC
rnacentral:rRNA from 1 species